GCUUAACACAUGCAAGUCGAACGAAGCAUGUUGGAGCAGCCCUUCGGGGCUGGGAAGACAUGACUUAGUGGCGGACGGGUGAGUAACGCGUGAGCAACCUGGCCCAUAAGAGGGGGAUAACAGUUGGAAACGACUGCUAAUACCGCAUAAGACCACAUUACCGCAUGGUAGAGAGGUCAAAGAUUUAUCGCUUAUGGAUGGGCUCGCGUCCCAUUAGCUAGUUGGUGAGGUAACGGCUCACCAAGGCCGCGAUGGGUAGCCGACCUGAGAGGGUGAUCGGCCACACUGGAACUGAGACACGGUCCAGACUCCUACGGGAGGCAGCAGUGGGGAAUAUUGGGCAAUGGGGGCAACCCUGACCCAGCAACGCCGCGUGAGGGAAGAAGGUCUUCGGAUUGUAAACCUCUGUCCUUGGGGACGAAAAAAAUGACGGUACCCGAGGAGGAAGCCCCGGCUAACUACGUGCCAGCAGCCGCGGUAAUACGUAGGGGGCAAGCGUUGUCCGGAAUUACUGGGCGUAAAGGGAGCGUAGGCGGUUUAUUAAGUCAGAUGUGAAAUACCCGGGCUUAACCUGGGGCUUGCAUUUGAAACUGGUAGACUUGAGUGCAGGAGAGGAAAGUGGAAUUCCUAGUGUAGCGGUGAAAUGCGUAGAUAUUAGGAGGAACACCAGUGGCGAAGGCGACUUUUCUGGACUGUAACUGACGCUGAUGCUCGAAAGCGUGGGGGAGCAAACAGGAUUAGAUACCCUGGUAGUCCACGCUGUAAACGAUGGAUACUAGGUGUGGGGGUCAUAAGACUUCUGUGCCGCAGCUAACGCAUUAAGUAUCCCGCCUGGGGAGUACGGUCGCAAGACUGAAACUCAAAUGAAUUGACGGG
rnacentral:rRNA from 1 species